GCUGGGUAGCUAUGUACGGACGGGAUAAACGCUGAAAGCAUCUAAGCGUGAAGCCCCCCUCAAGAUGAGAUUUCCCAGUAUGUAAGACCCCUUGAAGACGACGAGGUAGAUAGGCUGGGGGUGGAAGUGCAGCAAUGCAUGGAGCUGACCAGUACUAAUCGGUCGAGGGCUUAUCCAAUA
rnacentral:rRNA from 1 species